UACGUAGGGGGCGAGCGUUGUCCGGAAUUAUUGGGCGUAAAGCGCGCGCAGGCGGCUCCUUAAGUCUGGUGUGAAAGCCCGCGGCUCAACCGCGGAGGGUCAUUGGAAACUGGGGAGCUUGAGUGCAGGAGAGGAGAGUGGAAUUCCACGUGUAGCGGUGAAAUGCGUAGAGAUGUGGAGGAACACCGGUGGCGAAAGCGGCUCUCUGGCCUGUAACUGACGCUGAGGCGCGAAAGCGUGGGGAGCAAACAGGAUUAGAUACCCUGGUAGUCCACGCCGUAAACGAUGAGUGCUAGGUGUUAGGGGGGUCCAACCCCUUAGUGCUGAAGUUAACACAUUAAGCACUCCGCCUGGGGAGUACGACCGCAAGGUUGAA
rnacentral:rRNA from 1 species